AGCAGCCGCGGUAAUUCCAGCUCCAAUAGCGUAUAUUAAAGUUGUUGCAGUUAAAAGCUCGUAGUUGAAUUUCGGGGUUAGCAGGUCGGUCGUGCCAUCGGUAUGAACUGGUCUCGCUGAUCCCUCCCUCUUGACGAACUGUGAUGCCAUUAAUUUGGUGUCGCAGGGAAUCAGGACUGUUACUUUGAAAAAUUGAGUGUUUAAAGCAGGCUCACGCUUGAAUACAUUAGCAUGGAAUAAUGAAAUAGGACGUUUGAUCCUAUUUUGUUGGCUUCUAGGAUUGACGUAAUGAUUAAUAGGGAUAGUUGGGGGCAUUAGUAUUCAAUUGUCAGAGGUGAAAUUCUUGGAUUUAUUGAAGACUAACUACUGCGAAAGCAUUUGCCAAGGAUGUUUCAUUAAUCAAGAACGAAAGUUAGGGACCGAAGACGAUCAGAUACCGUCGUAGUCUUAACCAUAAACUAUAGCCGACUAGGGAUCGGAUGAUGUUAAUUUUUAAUGUACUCAUUCC
rnacentral:misc_RNA from 1 species